rnacentral:lncRNA from 1 species
AGUGAAUGUUGAAACUGUCCUGCAGUGAUUCCACUUCUCAAAGCACCACCCCAGGGCCACAUUCACUUGGGACUGGAUUCGAUACAAUUUCAAAACGGGAGUCGGAAUUCCUUAGGACCCUCUGUGGACAAAAAGCUGAUACCCCUGUUACCACAAGGAUUCCUGCACUUCUUCUAGUUUGUAGCUUUCCAGGAGACCUGGCAGAAACAACAAAUCAAAUCUCCAUGCUUAACAAUCCUUUACCUUUGAAGACUUUAAAAACAAAUGAGGACACCAUCCCUGCUCAUUCACCCUGCCAUCCGAGUGCAAUCUACAAAGUGCUCUCCUGCUGAUUGUUUCAUCUCCAUUAACGCCCUUGUGAAGCAUUCCCAUUCUACCAGUGAGGACGCUAAGAACCCGAGGAAGGUAAAUGAUUUGCCCAAGGUUGCACAGCUACCAUGUGGCAAAACCAGAACUUUUCUUAAAAAUCUAGCGUUCUUUCCACCAAAUAACAGCUAAUAUGAACAAUCAGACAUGGGGCUCUCAAGGAAAAGGUUUUCAUGAUAACUUUGUUGUGCCUCGGAUUUCAUCUGUCAUUUUUUGAAUAGCUAAAUGACUGAGAAGUCUAAAGAGCUGAGGAAUCUAAACGAGAAAAGAUGCCUCCUUGUCUGGAAAGAGGGUGGGUCAUCUUUACAGAUUAAUGAAGCGGCACAGAAACAUCGGUAGGAGGGGGAUGAAGAUUACACAUGCAGUUAAGAAGUAGGCUGGGCUGGGAAUCUAACCCUGAAAAAAGACAGAUUGCGUUUAUCCCUGGAUUAGCAGUCUAGAAACUCUUCAGUCACUCAUAAAAUCUUCUAGCUGAAUCCAGAGCAGAAAGGGUGGCAGGAACAAGAGAAGGCGGCAGGCUGAGUAGAAAAAAAUAAAACAUCAUAAAGAGGGAAGAAAAGAGAAAAUUCUACCAAAAGAGAGGAGAAUGCAGAAGUGCAGAAAACAGAAAGCAACAGGAGAAAGAUGACAUGGGCAUGGAGCAAAAACAGGUAGACAACCACAAAAAUCCAUUGUGUUGGAACUCAGAAAGCAGAGGUGGCCCCAAAUGCAGACCAGCUGUGUGCUAGUGAAAAUCUGUUGCAUGGUGAGAGUUUCUGAAAACUGUGUGGCGUCUUUGUCAGAUUCUAGUUCAGAAAGGGACCUAAAAUCAGUCUGCUGGGGGAACCUUUCAGAUGUUGGUGAGGAAGGAUAAGAUACAGCCUUUCUGGUAUGUAGGUCAGAAGAGUUCAGCUCCAGGACCCUGAAAGAAAAAGAGUUAAGGAAACUUGAUCUUGGUUGGCUUCCAACUUUGCAGGGAAAUACAGCUACAGAGGAAGGAGAGGUAGAGCCAGGAUUUUGAAGUCUACAGCAAAUUGCAAAAACUGGUGAGAGGUAGAGUUACCAAAGAGCUCAGGGAUGCAGUGAAAAGCAACAGGAGAAGAAUCAGGGCAGGAAGAACUGAACAAACUGCCUGUUGUCAGGAGCAGAAAUCCCUCCCCCAGGUAGCCAAACACCCAUGAGCUGGUUGCCAGCCUUGCUCUGAGGGGCAGGAGUUAUCCAGAUCCCACUUCUCAGCUGAGUUCAAGUUCCUG